rnacentral:rRNA from 1 species
CGGAAUCUGCCUAUUUGUGGGGGAUAACGUAGGGAAACUUACGCUAAUACCGCAUACGACCUACGGGUGAAAGCAGGGGAUCUUCGGACCUUGCGCGAUUGAAUGAGCCGAUGUCGGAUUAGCUAGUUGGCGGGGUAAAGGCCCACCAAGGCGACGAUCCGUAGCUGGUCUGAGAGGAUGAUCAGCCACACUGGAACUGAGACACGGUCCAGACUCCUACGGGAGGCAGCAGUGGGGAAUAUUGGACAAUGGGCGCAAGCCUGAUCCAGCCAUACCGCGUGGGUGAAGAAGGCCUUCGGGUUGUAAAGCCCUUUUGUUGGGAAAGAAAUCCAGCCGGCUAAUACCUGGUUGGGAUGACGGUACCCAAAGAAUAAGCACCGGCUAACUUCGUGCCAGCAGCCGCGGUAAUACGAAGGGUGCAAGCGUUACUCGGAAUUACUGGGCGUAAAGCGUGCGUAGGUGGUUGUUUAAGUCUGUUGUGAAAGCCCUGGGCUCAACCUGGGAACUGCAGUGGAAACUGGACAACUAGAGUGUGGUAGAGGGUAGCGGAAUUCCCGGU